GAGGGGAUAUUUCAUAUUUGUUAUGUUGUAUUCUGUACAAUCGGGGUGUGUAUCCGGAAGAAAGCUUUGGAAAAGUGAAGAAAUAUGGACUUCCUUUGUUGCUUUCUCAAGAUGAGAGUGUUAAGACCUUCAUUGCAAAUUUGAACACACAGCUUUCUAAAUGGCUGGAAGCUGGGAAGUUACAAAGGAUUGUUCUUGUGAU